CUUUUUUGUAAAACAUCCUGAGCUGUUCUUAGAAGUUUUUAUAAAAAUUUACUAAAAAUAAAAAUGAGUAUUUAUUCUCUAACAAUUCAUAAACUGGGAUUACACGGGAAUUCCACAUUCACUCCUCAGAUUUCUGCCUUCCUCUUUUCCCCAGAGUCUCCCAGGUAAGUGUCCCUGGUGGUGCCUUCCUACUCGUCUUGUGAUAAUAAUAUAUGACAAACACUAAUUCAGAAGGUCCCUGUCUAGUAUUAACAAGGAUUUUUCAAGCAGAUCCAUUUGAAAGGGCGUGGGUAUUCUGCACUGUGUCAUAGCUUUUUAGAAAAUAGAUCUGGAGAUAAUCAUUUCUGAGAAAAGAUGAAGGGGCCUCAAUACGUGGGGCCUGAGAAAUAAUGACGCGUCUGGAGAACAGGCCGGAUAAAAGGAGGGUAAAGGGCAUUGUCAGCGUGCCACAUGGAGGCUUUGGUUCAAUCAGAACAAGCUGAACAAAAUGAUGAAAAAACACACAAAGAGCACACUGUGCCUUUGCUCUCCCACGUGCCUUGAUAAACAGUGGGCAGGGAGAUGAAGGUCUCUGUUCCCCAGGGAGCGCGCCACGCAGCUGAGUGUGUCUCCCUCCCUUCCUUGCUCGCUUUCCUUUCUCUCUCCUCAGCUCCUCUUCAUUUCUUUUUCACGUUCUCCAGGGCAUUAUUAGGCUUUCUUUUUUUGUAUGCAUUUGAGAUUUCUAUUUCAUCUCAGUCUGGUUACAUCCAAGUUUUUAGCUAAAAGUUGCUGUCUUUUGUUUUGUGAUUUCUUCGAGUGGAGUUUGGUCUAUGGUUUGCACACUUCAGAAGCAGCUCCGUGUGCUUCAGCUUCUCUUCUCCUGGUCCACCUGUGACAAUCCCUUCCUUCCCACCCAGGCUGCUCAGACCUGUGCCUGAGCCCCGGGCUCUGCUCUGGCCCCAGCACAGGGGAAGUAUGAGGCCAGCAUUCCAUGAUUCUCCUGGAAAACACAAGUUCCCCAUGCCUCUCUGGAGGGAAGCCUGGCAGCCCUUUCUUCAGUUUCUGGGACAUUUCAGGCAGCUCUGCAUCACUGGAAAACACCAGAUGGGAUGGAGCGAGGCAAUUUUGCAGAAAGUGCUGUGAGACCGGCUUCCUCAGUGAUCUUUCCAGCUGGAAGCAGAGCGGCCAGAAAGCAUUCCUUUCUCAGCCCAGUUUCAUCGCCUCCAGAGCUACAGAUGGCUUCCCCAAGCACCUGAAGUCUGCAGUGCUUCCCUGGAUGGAGCAAGCUGCAAGCCGCAGAAACUCUUUUGUCUUUCCACAGUGCCACUCAGAACCCAGUUUCUUUCUGCCUUGAGAGUGAGAGCAAGGAGACGACACACAGUAAAAAGAGCCAGAAGAUUCUUCUCUAAACAUCCUCAGGGUGCUGCUCAUCAAUGGAAUACUCAGAUGACCACUGCUGAGCACCUGGAGGAGCAAAGAAGAUAAUCCCCUGGCUUCUGAGAGCUCACAUAUCAGCCAACAGAUUAAAUAUGAGAAUUGUAUUACCUGAAUGAGGACAGAAGGGCAAUGGACAAUCUCUAACAGAAAUGAAACACUUAAAUUAAGGAAAUGAAGUUCCUGUGGGAGGAUGUCAGUCACUACCAGCUGGCCAAGGACAGAUUUUAAACAAACUUUGGAAAUUUGGAAAUAAUAUGAGCAAUUUACUUUGGGUAGGCAAUUAACAAUGUAAACAUUUCAUUUACUUAUUAACUAUUAUUUACAAGAAACUGAGCUAGACAUUUAGAAUCAGAUCUUAAUGCAAGAUGCACACAGUGAGUGGAACUAGCCAAUUAAAAUUAAUGUAAUACAAUUUGUGGUACAGGUAUAUAUAAAUGAGAUUUCUAUGUAGGGAUUUGCCAGAAAUUUUACAAAAGACUUAAUGUUUGAAUUAGAUAUGAAAUUAUCAGGGGUGAUUUCCAAUUAGAUAUAGGUGUGGAACUUGGGACAUCUAAGCAGAGGAAAUAGCAUAUGCAAAUGCAUAGAAAAUAUGUCUGACUGUAGCUUAGAAGACAGAUUUAGAAAACCUCAAAAGAUGAUGAUAGAAAAGUCUGCUAGGACUUGGUUGUAAGAUACUGUUUUUUCUGUGCGAGAGGGUUUGGGAUUUGUCCAACAGGCAAUAGAGAACUAGCAGAGUUUAAAAGAACACAGCAUGCUGAUUAAAAAAGCAAAACAAAAUUCCAUAGAAUUCAUUCUUUUAUCAAUAUCAGUGAAGUUUCUGAAGUCUAGGUCAUGUUAUCUUCUCAAAACAGAGAGAAAAUUUGAGACAAUGGACACCGCCAAUUGUCCCAACCAGCCAGGUUUGGAUAAUCACAGAAUUCAAGAAUUCACAUAUAUGAUCUGGAGCCCAGUUGCUGAGUUGCUUUCCACAGGUAUUUUGUCAAUAAGAAAACAUUGCAAAUAUGACCAAUGAGUGGAGAAAGAAUCACUAACACACUUAAGGGAGAGAAUACGUGGAAAUAAACCCUAUAGAAAUCCAGAACAUGAAGGCCUUUAAGUGACUUCAGGGAGGAGGGAUGACCAAGGACCGAUUUUUACUGACCAACUGUCAAUUUGUAAUACUCCUUAAAAAACAGGCAAAACCAAAGCUAUAGCACAGAGUAGAAAUGAUUUGAUGAUGUAAUGCUUUUGCAUCUGAGCUUUUAAAGCUCUUAGAAAUCUUUUUAAGAAGAUUGAAGACUUCAAACAAAAGCCAGGCAGCCUCCGGAAUGGCCAAUUCUAAGUGGAAGACUAGAGUCCAGUCAUUCUCCAGGGAAAGGAACCUGAUUCCUCGGUGAGCCAGGCGCUGCUCUGCUUGGUCACUCUCAGAACAGAAGUCCAGGAGCAGCUCCAAGGCUUUCCUCAGGAUCUGGCCAUCAGGCCUCUCCCGAAUGAGUCCACCUCUCCCUCUGGAUCCCCAGAAAGAUGAUUAAAUGAGUCAUAAUUUAAGAAAGAAAAGGCUGGCAACUGGGACCUCAGCUUGAGGUCACGACUGUGUAUAAAGAAUGUGAGGAAAAGAAUCCAUCAUUCCAUUGAUUUCUUACAUCUUUCCCGUGGACUAGCAAUUUAAUGAAAAAUAGCCAAUUGUCCUGAAGGUGUUGCUCUUGGAAGGUGCCUGCAUACCAGGAAAGCCAUGAAUGCCGCAGGGACCUCAAGCAGACAAGACCCUGAAGGCAGGAGGUGCAAGAGAGCUGAGAAUCAUGCAGACUUCAGCGUUCCCACGUGCUCCCCAUCCCAGGGGAGAGAAAAAUUAAAAAAAAAAAAAAUUUCUUGACCUGGAGCUCCCUCUCUAGCUCUCCCUAGUAUCUUGCCAAUCCUUCCCACACUAAUUUCUUGAAAAGUCUUUCUGCUCUCUGUCCAUUCACUGCUCAGUGCACUUUACCGGAAGCGUUCAAAUCAGCUUACCAAUGACCUCCACAUUGCUAAAGCCAGUGAAGUUUUAAAAUUUCUUAUCUGACUGGACCUUUUUGUCUUACUUGGUAUUAUUCUUUCCUCCUUUUAAUGAUAAUAAUAAUAGAAUAAUAGCUAAUAUUACUGAGUAUUAAGUAUUUGCCACACAUUGUGCUAAACAUACAUUAAAACUCCACUUUUUUUCCUGAAAUGUAAAUUUGGCAUCUUCCUUGGUGAACAAACUAAGUUACAUGCUAUAUGGUGGCACGUGAGUGAAGAGUCCUCUUGGUGUGCUGCGUACAUAGGGACCAUGGAUCCUGCAGACCCUGUUGGAGAAUACAUCACUGAUCCCAAACCCCAUUUGCUGGUGGUACCAAGGCUCUGAUCUUAUCGCCCUCUCUGGCUGGGUGGUUUUGGGAAGGGACUAGAGCCCCCAGAGAAAGGCCUCAGAGAAGCAGAGACUAACUCAUCAGCAAUAAUAGAUGCCGGCAUGCUGUAUGAAACACCUACAACCUGAGAUUAUUUCAGUGACUGCCUGUCUUCCUUUUUCAUUCUGUUUCUCUCCACGAUAACUUUUGCUCUGAACUUUGUGCCACCGCACAGAGUACAGGUCAGCUAAGAACAGACUACCAGUUUAUACAUGACUUCAGUUCUAUUCUAGGAAGCAAAGGCCAUACGGAUAGUCUAGAGUAAGUGAAGAAGGCCCAAAGAAAGCAGAAAUCAAGUAGGUAUAUUGAUGUUGAAGGGCCACUGCUAGAAGGUAGCGAUUGAUGCAGCAUAAAUGCCAAACGACUGUGUUCUUUGGUCUGGCCCAGACACGCAGCCAGAGCCCUAAACCUCGGAGGCCAUGCUGCAACCACACACAGUUACCCACACGCUCCGAGGCCUCUCUGUGCCAUUAAAGGUGGUUUCUUUGUAGUUUUCCUUAGCAUGGAUAAUAACUUGCUAGUGUGUUUGUUAUAUUGUUUUCCAAGCUGCCACAUGUUUUCUCUCUCUUGACCUUUAAUGGCAUUUACUGGAAAUACCUUCAUGUCCAACUGAAGUAAAAUUUCAUCAGAUUUAUUUCUAUUUAAGGACAUUACUUAUUCAGAAUGAUAAUAUAUUCCUUCUCUAUAUUCAUGCAUUAAUGUAACCACAUUAUUUUUCUUCCUCAUUUCUUUUAAUAGCAGGGAAAUAGUGAAUUCAGGGAAAAUUACUCUGCAUAAAAUGCCAUGAGUCUUUUCCCUGGGCCUGGAGAUAUGAAUUUUACAAGAUUCCCCUCUGAGGAGUCAACAGCCGGAGCUCAGUAAACAGGUGGGUUCAAUUGAGAGAAAUUGAAGAAAAUUUCCAAGACCACUCAGCUGAGAAAAGGUAGAAUCAGGGGCUGGCCCCGUGGCCCAGUGGUUAAGUUCGCGCGCUCAGCUGCAGGCGGCCCAGUGUUUCGUGGUUCGAAUCCUGGGCGCGGACAGGGCACUGCUCAUCAAACCACGCUGAGGCAGCAUCCCACAUGCCACAACUAGAAGGACCCACAACGAAGAACAUACAACUAUAUACGGGGUCUUUGGGGAGAAAAAGGAAAAAAAAAAUAAAAUCUUAAAAAAAAAAACCAGGGUAGAAUCCGUGUUUACACUCGUGUCUAUCUUACUCUGAAGCUCUUGUUCUUUCUUUCACACAAUACUGCCUCUGUCUUCACAUCUCCAUAGCGGGUGUCUGAGUUUAAGAGCUCAUAGUGAACAGAACCUGUUGAACACAGCUACUGCCUUUGUGACCACAAUGUGAUUAUUAAAUGAAUUAGUUAAAGCAUGAAUGACAUUGCUCAUGACCAUUGAGUGAUUAUCAUACCUUUGAGCUUUGUGAAAAGAUUGCAGUCGUAUUCUCAAAUUUGAAUGAAAAAUUUGUCAACCACUUAGAAAUAAUAGCCCUGGGGUUAUCUUUUUGCACUAAGUCUUAAACUUGCUGCAUUUUGGAAUUACCUAGGGGGUUGCAAACAACGUGCUCAGGCCACAACCUGUACCAAUUAUUUGAGAAUCUCUAGGAAUGGGACCCAAGCAUCAGUAAUUUUUAAAGCACCCCAGCAGACUGCAGUGUGGAACCAAAUCUGAGAUGCAGUAACAGAGCAGUUUGUCUUUCAGUGCAACACGACGUGGCGUGCCCUUGGUAAGGGCCACAAGCUGAUAUAGGGUGGAGAUCUAUUCAGAGACAUUAGAGACCUGGAAACUAAAGAAUUUGGACAAAGUUGAUGUUUCUCAAAAUAUAAUCUGUGGCAUAUUUAGUCACAAUUCGUGACUCAAUAGACAUAUUAGUAAGAAAUAAAUAGGAGAAAAACAAGGCCCAUUGUCAAAUCUAUUUAGAAAAUGCUGGGUUAACCACACAGAUUUUUUUUUUGUUAUUGCUAUUUUUGUUGUUUUAACCUCAGGCCUUUUCA
ensembl:lncRNA